rnacentral:rRNA from 1 species
AUUGAACGCUGGCGGCAGGCCUAACACAUGCAAGUCGAGCGGAUGAAGGGAGCUUGCUCCUGGAUUCAGCGGCGGACGGGUGAGUAAUGCCUAGGAAUCUGCCUGGUAGUGGGGGAUAACGUCCGGAAACGGGCGCUAAUACCGCAUACGUCCUGAGGGAGGAAGUGGGGGAUCUUCGGACCUCACGCUAUCAGAUGAGCCUAGGUCGGAUUAGCUAGUUGGUGGGGUAAAGGCCUACCAAGGCGACGAUCCGUAACUGGUCUGAGAGGAUGAUCAGUCACACUGGAACUGAGACACGGUCCAGACUCCUACGGGAGGCAGCAGUGGGGAAUAUUAGACAGUGGGCGAAAGCCUGAUCCAGCCAUGCCGCGUGUGUGGAGAAGGUCUUCGGAUUGUAAAGCACUUUAAGUUGGGAGGAAGGGCAGUAAGUUAAUACCUUGCUGUUUUGACGUUACCAACAGAAUAAGCACCGGCUAACUUCGUG